GGAGAGUGCGAACGUUGUUCGGAUUCACUGGGCGUAAAGGGCACGUAGGCGGCCUGGCAAAUCAGUCGUGGAAUCCCGACGCUUACCGUCGGAACGGCGGCUGAAAAUACCAGGCUUGAGGGCGUGAGGGGUCACUGGAACUCCCGGUGAAGCGGUGAAAUGCGUAGAUAUCGGGAGGAACGCCGGAGGCGAAAGCGAGUGACUGGCGCGUUCCUGACGCUGAGGUGCGAAAGCUAGGGGAGCAAACAGGAUUAGAUACCCUGGUAGUCCUAGCCGUAAACGAUGGACACUGAGUGAAGGGGGGCUUGCCCCUCUUUGCUGCAGCUAACGCGUUAAGUGUCCCGCCUGGGGAGUACGGCCGCAAGGUUA
rnacentral:rRNA from 1 species